rnacentral:rRNA from 1 species
AGUGAACGCUGGCGGUAGGCCUAACACAUGCAAGUCGAACGGCAGCACAGGAGAGCUUGCUCUCUGGGUGGCGAGUGGCGGACGGGUGAGGAAUACAUCGGAAUCUACCUUUUCGUGGGGGAUAACGUAGGGAAACUUACACUAAUACCGCAUACGACCUACGGGUGAAAGCAGGGGACCUUCGGGCCAUGCGCGAUUGAAUGAGCCGAUGUCGGAUCAGCUAGUUGGCGGGGUAAAGGCCCACCAAGGCGACGAUCCGUAGCUGGUCUGAGAGGAUGAUCAGCCACACUGGAACUGAGACACGGUCCAGACUCCUACGGGAGGCAGCAGUGGGGAAUAUUGGACAAUGGGCGCAAGCCUGAUCCAGCCAUACCGCGUGGGUGAAGAAGGCCUUCGGGUUGUAAAGCCCUUUUGUUGGGAAAGAAAUCCAGCUGGCUAAUACCCGGUUGGGAUGACGGUACCCAAAGAAUAAGCACCGGCUAACUUCGUGCCAGCCGCCGCAGUAA